AUGAACGCUAGCGGCAGGCUUAAUACAUGCAAGUCGAGGGGCAGCAGGGGUAGCAAUACCCGCUGGCGACCGGCAAACGGGUGCGGAACACGUACACAACUUUCCUUUAAGUGGGGAAUAGCCCGGGGAAACCCGGAUUAAUACCCCGUAACAUUAUACAGUGGCAUCAUUUUAUAAUUAUAGCUCAGGCGCUUAAAGAUGGGUGUGCGGCUGAUUAGGUAGUUGGCGGGGUAACGGCCCACCAAGCCUACGAUCAGUAACUGGUGUGAGAGCACGACCAGUCACACGGGCACUGAGACACGGGCCCGACUCCGUACGGGAGGCAGCA
rnacentral:rRNA from 1 species